CAAUGUAUUGUCGGGGGCUGGUUGGAAUGGCGCAUCUGCGCUGUACUUGCCGGCCCUGUCUGCACAUUACCCCUGUUUUUUGCGUACCUACCUGUUUCCUCGGCAGGCUUGCCUGCCAGUGGACCUCUUAUAAACCUUUUUGUACUUGCAAUCAGCGUCAGAAAAUUUGAAUGGUUA
rnacentral:misc_RNA from 1 species